rnacentral:misc_RNA from 1 species
UCAGCUUACAGUUUCCACACU